rnacentral:rRNA from 1 species
UACAGAGGUCCCAAGCGUUGUCCGGAUUUAUUGGGCGUAAAGAGCGUGUAGGCGGCCUGACAGGUCUGCUGUGAAAACUCGAGGCUCAACCUCGAGAUGUCGGCGGAAACCGUCUGGCUAGAGUCCGGAAGAGGAGAGUGGAAUUCCUGGUGUAGCGGUGAAAUGCGCAGAUAUCAGGAAGAACACCUAUGGCGAAGGCAGCUCUCUGGGACGGUACUGACGCUGAGACGCGAAAGCGUGGGGAGCGAACAGG